AUUGAACGCUGGCGGCAUGCCUUACACAUGCAAGUCGAACGGUAACGCGGGGCAACCUGGCGACGAGUGGCGAACGGGUGAGUAACGCAUCGGAACGUGCCCAGUAGUGGGGGAUAGCCCGGCGAAAGCCGGAUUAAUACCGCAUACGACCUACGGGUGAAAGCGGGGGACCGUAAGGCCUCGCGCUAUUGGAGCGGCCGAUGUCAGAUUAGGUAGUUGGUGGGGUAAAAGCCUACCAAGCCGACGAUCUGUAGCUGGUCUGAGAGGACGACCAGCCACACUGGGAGUGAGACACGGCCCAGACGCCUACGGGAGGCAGCAGUGGGGAAUUUUGGACAAUGGGCGCAAGCCUGAUCCAGCCAUGCCGCGUGCGGGAAGAAGGCCUUCGGGUUGUAAACCGCUUUUGUCAGGGAAGAAACGCUCCGAACUAAUACUUUGGGGUAAUGACGGUACCUGAAGAAUAAGCACCGGCUAACUACGUGCCAGCCGCCGCCGUAAAAC
rnacentral:rRNA from 1 species